GAUGAACGCUGGCGACGUGCCUAAUACAUGCAAGUCGAACGCUGAAGCUUGGUGCUUGCCCCGAGCGGAUGAGUUGCGAACGGGUGAGUAACGCGUAGGUAACCUGCCUCUUAGCGGGGGAUAACUAUUGGAAACGAUAGCUAAUACCGCAUAAAAGUCGAUAUCGCAUGAUAUUGAUUUGAAAGGUGCAAUUGCAUCACUAAGAGAUGGACCUGCGUUGUAUUAGCUAGUUGGUGAGGUAACGGCUCACCAAGGCGACGAUACAUAGCCGACCUGAGAGGGUGAUCGGCCACACUGGGACUGAGACACGGCCCAGACUCCUACGGGAGGCAGCAGGAGGGAAUCUUCGGCAAUGGGGGCAACCCUGACCGAGCAACGCCGCGUGAGUGAAGAAGGGUUUCGGAUCGUAAAGCUCGGUUGUAAGAGAAGAACGAGUGUGAGAGUGGAAAGUUCACACUGUGACGGUAACUUACCAGAAAGGGACGGCUAACUACGUG
rnacentral:rRNA from 1 species